GCCCGGUUGGUGAAAUCGGUAGACACAGGAGACUUAAAAUCUCCCGACGAAAGUCGUGCCAGUUCGAGUCUGGCACCGGGCA
rnacentral:tRNA from 1 species